rnacentral:rRNA from 1 species
AUGACUCUCGGCAACGGAUAUCUCGGCUCUCACAUCGAUGAAGAACGUAGCGAAAUGCGAUACCUGGUGUGAAUUGCAGAAUCCCGCGAACCAUCGAGUCUUUGAACGCAAGUUGCGCCCGAGGCCAUUCGGCCGAGGGCACGCCUGCCUGGGCGUCACGC